rnacentral:tRNA from 2 species
UGGGGAGUCGUCAAGUGGUUAAGACACUGGGUUUUGAUCCCAGUAUGCGUAGGU